ACAAUGCGGGACUUGUAGUCUUGCAAGUGGAUUGAGAACAACGUAAAACUCUUAUCGAUAAGCCAUUGGAGGGCAAGUCUGGUGCCAGCAGCCGCGGUAAUUCCAGCUCCAAUAGCGUAUAUUAACGUUGUUGCAGUUAAAAAGCUCGUAGUUGAAGUGAGGGAGUGUGUGAGUAUGAGAGCUAGUCUCAAGUGCUCACAACCUCCCCCUUCCAAUGGGUGUAUUGGGGUAUUCAUUUACUUCAUUACUCCUUUGGUCGUUUACUGUGAGAAAAUUAGAGUGUUCAAAGCGGGCGUUUGUUUGAAUAGAUUAGCAUGGAAUAAUGAUUGAAGGCUUUCGUGUUCGAUUUAAGGGGUUUGUUCAUGGA
rnacentral:rRNA from 1 species